rnacentral:lncRNA from 1 species
CGGUCAGACACGAAAACCCCUGCCACAAAAAAAUAUGCCCGCUUUUAUUCAUCAUGUUCAUUUAAUGCUAAAUAAUUCUGUUGGGAAUUUUCGUUUCUAAUAGCAAAAAAGUGGACAAGAUUUUUGUUUUGCGUCUAGAAUUUUUGUUUAAGGCAAAAAUCAGAGUUAAUUUUUUUUCUCUCAAAUAUCCAAGACUGUCUCCUCAAAUCAAAUGGUUCGUACUUACGACUUUAAAUCUAUAUAGAGCUUAUGCUGACUGGGGAUCAUUAUUCAGCUAUAUUAUUUCAAAAUGGGCUGGGGCGUUUGGGGUUAAACAUGUUUCCGUAGUUAGAUACUAUUGCUGUGGAACUUUUUUUUCAUGAGAGUGUAAUAGUCUAUAGAGCAUUACUUUCUGUUUGGUGGAAUAGUGAAAUAGAAGUCAAUAUGUUCUUGCUAAAUCCUGUGUCGCUUUGAAGGUGUCACGAUUGUCAUCCUCAGCCUACGCAAUGUAUUACUGUAAUUUGAAUUUCAAAAUGACUGAGAGAUGUUUUAUUCGCCCUCUACGCCCCCCUCUGGAUCCGCCACUGAAUUAAAAGUCCGAGUUGAAGUAUCGGAAACCAGUUCACAUUGACUGAAUCCUAUAGUCUGUUAUCACGAAACCAAAAAAGGUUUACCAAGUUUGUUUUCACUUUAAUCAUAUUUUUACAAUGCUAAUUUUGUCUGGAUUCCAUGUCAGAAUCUUUCAUAAUAAUGGCCAAUACAGUCAAAUCAUACAAUAACUGCCAAUCAUGCUGGUGCCUCAAUCCCUUAAAAUCUGACAAAGUCAAAAGAUGAAGCUAGUAAUAUACAUCAUUGGCCCCUUGCUUUUACACAAAAUAAGGUUGAUUUUAAUAGCGCGCAAAAGUGACUAAAGCCCUCAAAAUCCUAGCUUAAACACUGUUUUGAUAAUUUUCUUUAAAUUUUAAGAAGGGAAAAUUCUGUUAACAGUUUAUUUUUAGCGUUUUCUUUUAUUAAUCAUUCAAUAUUCAUUAUAUUUUUAGACCACGC